UCAGUAACAGGCAAUGGAGUCUGCCUGAACCGCCCUGAACCGAGGGAUGAUGACUCCUGCUCCGGA
rnacentral:ncRNA from 1 species